rnacentral:rRNA from 1 species
UACGGGGGGGGCAAGCGUUGUUCGGAAUUACUGGGCGUAAAGGGCUCGUAGGUGGCCAACUAAGUCAGACGUGAAAUCCCUCGGCUUAACCGGGGAACUGCGUCUGAUACUGGAUGGCUUGAGAUUGGGAGAGGGAUGCGGAAUUCCAGGUGUAGCGGUGAAAUGCGUAGAUAUCUGGAGGAACACCGGUGGCGAAGGCGGCAUCCUGGACCAACACUGACACUGAGGAGCGAAAGCCAGGGAGCAAACAGG